GAAAAACGAAAAAAAAAAAAUUCAAAAACAAGGAGAGGAGGAAAAGCCCAUUGUUUGAGACGGAAAGAGAAGGUGAAGCCGGGGGAGAGGUUUUUAAUAGAGGGAAAGAAGGAGAGAAGAAAACGAAGUCGUUUUAGCAGUUGGGAUUCCGAUUCCGAAUCCUACUUCGAUUCCAACUCAACAGGCGCGUUGAGAGAGGUGGGUUUUAAGGAGAGAUUUUAGGAUUUGGAUAAAUAUUCAGAGGCGGCUCAUGGGAAAAGAUAAAAACAGGAAGACGGUGAUGCGAUAGUUGGCUUAAUU
rnacentral:misc_RNA from 1 species